UGGGGAAUCUUGGACAAUGGGGGCAACCCUGAUCCAGCCAUGCCGCGUGAGUGAUGAAGGCCUUAGGGUCGUAAAGCUCUUUCGCCUGUGAAGAUAAUGACGGUAGCAGGUAAAGAAACCCCGGCUAACUCCGUGCCAGCAGCCGCGGUAAUACGGAGGGGGUUAGCGUUGUUCGGAAUUACUGGGCGUAAAGCGCACGUAGGCGGACCAGAAAGUUGGGGGUGAAAUCCCGGGGGCUCAACCCCGGAACUGCCUCCAAAACUAUUGGUCUAGAGUUCGAGAGAGGUGAGUGGAAUUCCAAGUGUAGAGGUGAAAUUCGUAGAUAUUUGGAGGAACACCAGUGGCGAAGGCGGCUCACUGGCUCGAUACUGACGCUGAGGUGCGAAAGUGUGGGGAGCAAACAGGAUUAGAUACCCCUGGUAGUCCCACACCGUAAAACGAUGAAUGCCCAGU
rnacentral:rRNA from 1 species